CCCCAAUCUUCUCUCAGCUUCCCUUGGUCCGACCUCAUCCCUUCCAGUAUCACAGAAAGCGCAGGCUGGAGGACGCCUAUGAGCCUGUGGGUCUGACCUCUGGUUUUCCUGUGGCCCAGAGAGGGGUCAAGCUUGCUCAAGGUCACAUUGAGAGAGUUGGCUGAGACUCGAACUCAGAGCCUCUGACUCACAUGGCCCCUCACAGGCUCUGGAGCCCAGCCUUGUCUCCCCAGAUGCACACCACGUGCCGAGGGUGGGGCAGCUGCCUGGAUUUUCGGCCUUCCUCCCUCCCAGCGCCCAGCUUGGGCUCUGCACACGGCAAAUGCCAAAUUAAUUCCGGUUUCGUCACGGGAGGUCUUUGCGAUAACCUUCAAGCCAAAGGAUCACCCCUUGCCACCUUCCCAGUGAGGUAGGAGGGGGCGUCAGCGGCCUCACGGUGUGACCUUGGGCAAGUCUCUUACCUCCACGGGCCUGGGACCUCAGGUGACGAAAGCUGAUAAAGAUCCUUAACGAGAACACCUAGAUCUGAGUCAAGGCUUUUUUCUACAACUCUGCUGCCACCUCCAAGGAUAAAAAUCUUUGCACUGCCCUUUGAGCGUUAUUUGAAAUUCAAAAUAGGUUAAAUAACAAGAUAAAAACAAAGAAAGCAAUAAGACAAAGCUUGCUUUGUUUUCUGACUACAUUCUCUUCCCUUCCCACCAACUGAUCCUCCCCCCCAAACCUAACUCCUCCCCCUGGGGGGGGGCUCUGAAUCAUCCUUUCCCUGGCACCCCGGCACUGAGAAGUCCUCGUGGAAUGUUUGCUGAAGUUAUGAAGCGCUCUGCAGUUGGCCAGCCCUCCCAUGACGUCAUCUGAGCCUCCAACGGCCCCGCAAGGCGGGAGGGUUAGCCCGUUCACAGGGAGCGCCAAGGUUCCGAGGGAAGGGACUUGGCCAAGGUCACGUGGCAGGUAUGUGGCACGUGGCAGGUUUGCAUGCUCUGCUGAGAUGGAUGAAUCUCUGGGGGGACUCAUUCUGAAAUGUCAUGUGGAGGGGUCACUGUGUCUGCUAGUGGCCACACGCACCUCUCUCCCAGCCCCCACGGCCACUUUGACCUGGGAGACCAGCUUGCGCCCCAAUCUUCUGACAGUCCCACCUGCUACAUGCCUCUGAGACCUCCAGGAGGCCUCCACUCUGCCCACUGCAGUGGGAGGCCCUGCUGCGUUGUGGGGCAGGGACAGGGCACUGCCACUGGGGACCCGUUUUCCACGUGGAAACUGGAACCGCAGCACAGUGAAGGCUGGGCCCUCCCAGGGGAGUUGUACAGUGGAAGGUGCUGUAAUUAACCCUCAGAGCCCGGGGCAGGGCAGCCCUGCAUUCAAAUCCAACAUCCUUAUGCUAACAACUCUCAUUCUGGGGACCCUUGGUGGCAGCUAUUUGGCACUUGAUGCUGGCGAUCAGGUGUGCCCUACCUGGCCCCAGAGUAAGCUGGGCUCUGGUGUCCUUGGGGCAAGGCUCUCUCCCCUCACCAGCCCAGGAAUACACAAUGCCCAUUUUACAGGUGAAAAAACCGAGGCACACAAAGGGAAUGGACUUGACCCAGGUCACAGAGCCAAAAAAAAGUGAUGUGGCUGGAAAUCCCCCCAGGGGCGGUGUUGGAGGGGGCAGUGUUGGAGAAGGCCGUGCCCAGUGGCUGAGCAGGGGAAGAGCAGGCCUGGGAGACAGCCCAGCAGAUGCAGUGACUGCGACCUGGGCAAGGGUGGUCACCAUGCAGCCUCAGUGUCCCAGGUCCUCAUAUUUACCCUACCGAAGACAGUCAGGCCUGGGCACUGGGUAGGAGCUUACUCAGCGGUGGUAAUGACCGCAAGGACAAGGUUUGGGGCCGAAGCAGGGAGCAUGCGCUAGGAGAGGCCAACAGGGGCCGCUGUGGAGGCACACGGGGCUGGGGGAGGCCAGGGAGCUGUCCGACCCGGGUAUCGGGGUGGGCGGGGGUGGCUGCACCCCGGCGCUCACCUGGGGGUCACCCGCAGGCCGCCCACGUGCACCACCGGCACCGCCUCUCAUCCUGGAGGCCACUCGCGUGCCCACAGCCCCCUUCCCGCCAGUGUCCAGCUGUAAAAGCACUCCCGCUGCUGGAGCGGGACCCUGUCUGGGUUAGGGCUGCUCUGGCCUCAGGAAUAAGGGGUUAACUCCCGGAAGGGAGGUUUCUCAUGCCCCUCAAAGUCCAGCGCUUCAAGGUGGAGACAGGAGGAGCCCCGAAAGGGGGCAGCAAGCCGUCCAGUGUGGCAGCGGGGACCCGGUUCUCAGGACUCUGAGGGGAAAUGGUGGUUCCAACAAGAAGGACCCAAAACUAAAACUAUGCAACUAUGUACCAGGGGGCUUUGGGGACGAAAAAGAAAAAUAAAAUCCUUAAAAGAAAGAAGAAAAAAGAAACGGUGGUUCAUAGUGAGAUUUCAUUCAAAAUACCGGUUUCCACUUCACCUCCAGUAGAUCGCAAAAAGAAACUGACCGCAUCAAGUGUGGGUGCAGCUGUGGGAUGCACGCACCACCGCGGGGGCUGUGAACUGGUACAAGCACGUGGCAAGACUGCUCAGCAGAGCUCCUGAGACUGAGCACACGCUAAGCCCAUGACCAAGCAAGCCCGCUGUCGGUAUGAACUCAAGAGAAAUGCUGUGCAUGUUCAUCAGAAGACGUGUGCAUGAAUGCUCGCAGCAGCAGUAUCUGUAACAGCCCCCAAACAGGAAUGACCCAAAUGCCCAUUAAACAGGAUAUUCACACAACGCAAUACCAUUCAGUAAUGAGAACGGACAGUGUGCAAAUACACGUGCCUGCAUGGAGGAAUCUCGCUGACGCGUGGUGAAUGAAAGAGACCGCAGAUAUGAAAGAACACAAAUGGGUGCAACCGAUCCAUGGCGACAGAG
rnacentral:lncRNA from 1 species